ACACGUGGUAUCCUGUCUGAAUAUGGGGGGACCAUCCUCCAAGGCUAAAUACUCCUGACUGACCGAUAGUGAACCAGUACCGUGAGGGAAAGGCGAAAAGAACCCCGGCGAGGGGAGUGAAAAAGAACCUGAAACCGUGUACGUACAAGCAGUGGGAGCACGCUUAGGCGUGUGACUGCGUACCUUUUGUAUAAUGGGUCAGCGACUUAUAUUCUGUAGCAAGGUUAACCGAAUAGGGGAGCCGAAGGGAAACCGAGUCUUAACUGGGCGUUAAGUUGCAGGGUAUAGACCCGAAACCCGGUGAUCUAGCCAUGGGCAGGUUGAAGGUUGGGUAACACUAACUGGAGGACCGAACCGACUAAUGUUGAAAAAUUAGCGGAUGACUUGUGGCUGGGGGUGAAAGGCCAAUCAAACCGGGAGAUAGCUGGUUCUCCCCGAAAGCUAUUUAGGUAGCGCCUCGUGAA
rnacentral:rRNA from 1 species